GUUCUCAACAUUUGGGGCAGUCGCAAUGCUAAGACGGUCCAGCGGAGUCCCGAGUGCAUCAUCUAUAUUCAGGGGCAUUUGUAGGAUCCUGAUCGUGGUGUUACAAUGACUGACUGACUGAGUUUGGUUUUACGCCGAUUUUAG